rnacentral:rRNA from 1 species
GAUCAUGGCUCAGGACGAACGCUGGCGGCGUGCUUAACACAUGCAAGUCGAACGGUGAACCAGAGCUUGCUCUGGGGAUCAGUGGCGAACGGGUGAGUAACACGUGGGCAACCUGCCCCAGACUCUGGGAUAACCUCGGGAAACCGAUGCUAAUACCGGAUACGACCACUUCGGACAUCCGACGGUGGUGGAAAGUUUUCGGUCUGGGAUGGGCCCGCGGCCUAUCAGCUAGUUGGUGGGGUAAUGGCCUACCAAGGCGACGACGGGUAGCCGGCCUGAGAGGGCGACCGGCCACACUGGAACUGAGACACGGUCCAGACUCCUACGGGAGGCAGCAGUGGGGAAUAUUGCACAAUGGGCGAAAGCCUGAUGCAGCGACGCCGCGUGAGGGACGACGGCCUUCGGGUUAUAAACCUCUUUCAGCAGGGACGAAGCGAAAGUGACUGUACCUGCAGAAGAAGCACCGGCUAACUACGUG